UACGGAGGGUGCAAGCGUUAAUCGGAAUUACUGGGCGUAAAGGGUGCGUAGGUGGUUGAAUAAGUUAGGUGUGAAAGUCCAGGGCUUAACCUUGGGAUUGCGCCUAAUACUGUUUAGCUAGAGUACUGUAGAGGAAGGUGGAAUUUCCGGUGUAGCGGUGAAAUGCGUAGAUAUCGGAAGGAACAUCGGUGGCGAAGGCGACUUUCUGGACAGAUACUGACACUGAGGCACGAAAGCGUGGGGAGCAAACAGG
rnacentral:rRNA from 1 species